rnacentral:rRNA from 1 species
AGUGAACGCUGGCGGUAGGCCUAACACAUGCAAGUCGAACGGCAGCACAGGAGAGCUUGCUCUCUGGGUGGCGAGUGGCGGACGGGUGAGGAAUACAUCGGAAUCUACUUUUUCGUGGGGGAUAACGUAGGGAAACUUACGCUAAUACCGCAUACGACCUACGGGUGUAAGCAGGGGACCUUCGGGCCUUGCGCGAUUGAAUGAGCCGAUGUCGGAUUAGCUAGUUGGCGGGGUAAAGGCCCACCAAGGCGACGAUCCGUAGCUGGUCUGGGAGGAUGAUCAGCCACACUGGAACCGAGACACGGUCCAGACUCCUACGGGAGGCAGCAGUGGGGAAUAUUGGACAAUGGGCGCAAGCCUGAUCCAGCCAUACCGCGUGGGUGAAGAAGGCCUUCGGGUUGUAAAGCCCUUUUGUUGGGAAAGAAAUCCAGCCGGCUAAUACCUGGUUGGGAUGACGGUACCCAAAGAAUAAGCACCGGCUAACUUCGUGCCAGCAGCCGCGGUAA